CUGUGGGAGGAAGAGUGGAGGAGGAGGCAGGGGAAGAAGGAAGGAGGAAGGGCUGUACUAGGUCACCGGUGAACGUUCUCAGCACACACAGAACUGCAGGGCUGCCCUCCUUCCCAGCUCCUCCCAGAAACAGACAGGUGGGACAGAAGAAAUCCUCAGUGUUGGAAGCUGACCACUAAAACCUGGCUAGAGAGAGCCAGGGUACUCAGGACUUGGGGAAGAGUUGAAGUAUAAUGUUGGAGAAAGACCUUAUGGGGAGCCUCACUUGACUAGAAGAAGAAUUAAUUUUUCCUUGGACCCAGGAAUCUGCUGAGGUGUUCACAGCCGCCUGCGCCUGCCAUGUCAGAUAGUAAAAGUGGUGUGAUGAUGACCAAGUUGGACGUGUCUCCAUAUGGCUGUGAACACUGUGGAUGCCCUCCGCUGCACCUUCUGAAGCGUGAAUGUUUCUUCUUUGGCAAAUGUAGAAUUGAGUAAAUAAACCUUGCCUCAAUGGAGAGAGACAUUUUAGGUAAUGAAAACUAAUCGAUGGUUUGACCUAACUAUGGAUCAUCAACAGGAUAUAUGCUUCAUGCCAAAGAGAUGGAAAUGGAUAAUGUCAUUGAAAAUGUGGGAAUAUAAUUAUAGGAAGAAGAGAUUAUGAAACAUUAUAAAUGUUGAAGAGAAAUCUUGCUUCAGAUGCCACUUAAAGGAGGCCAGUAGGUUAAGGAAGAAUGUAAAUAAACACAUAUGGUCUAUUUAAACCAUAUAAACAUUAGAAAGAUAUUUUAGUAGCAAAAUUAAUCUUGAAAAUUAUCCAUCCAAAUAUUUUUAUUUUAUAGAAGAGUUUACUGAAAUACAGGAAAGUGAGCAGGAACUGUUAUAAAAUUAGUCAUAACCCUCUUGGGAAAAUAAUUUCUAUUGUUGCCAUUAUUGAAUAAUAGUCAACUAGAUACAAAAGAUUUUUGUAAGAUUCUUACAUAAGAGCUGCAACUGUUAAUAAUUUUUCUCAUAAUCAAUUAUUUACACUAUUUUUAAGUUAAAUCUUGGGACAAAUCCUUAAACUCCUAAAAUGAGGGGAAAGAAUCAUCUCCUCAUAAAAAUGAUGUGAUGU
rnacentral:lncRNA from 10 species